rnacentral:rRNA from 1 species
AGAGUUUGAUCAUGGCUCAGAGCGAACGCUGGCGGCAGGCCUAACACAUGCAAGUCGAACGGAUCCUUCGGGAUUAGUGGCGGACGGGUGAGUAACACGUGGGAACGUGCCCUUUGGUUCGGAACAACUCAGGGAAACUUGAGCUAAUACCGGAUAAGCCCUACGGGGGAAAGAUUUAUCGCCAUUGGAGCGGCCCGCGUCUGAUUAGCUAGUUGGUGAGGUAAAGGCUCACCAAGGCUACGAUCAGUAGCUGGUCUGAGAGGAUGAUCAGCCACAUUGGGACUGAGACACGGCCCAAACUCCUACGGGAGGCAGCAGUGGGGAAUCUUGCGCAAUGGGCGAAAGCCUGACGCAGCCAUGCCGCGUGAAUGAUGAAGGUCUUAGGAUUGUAAAAUUCUUUCAGCAGGGACGAUAAUGACGGUACCUGCAGAAGAAGCCCCGGCUAACUUCGUGCCAGCAGCCGCGGUAAUACGAAGGGGGCUAGCAUUGCUCGGAAUUACUGGGCGUAAAGGGCGCGUAGGCGGGUCGUUUAGUUAGAGGUGAAAGCCCAGGGCUCAACCCUGGAAUUGCCUUUAAUACUGGCGGCCUUGAGUAUGGCAGAGGUGUGUGGAACUCCGAGUGUAGAGGUGAAAUUCGUAGAUAUUCGGAAGAACACCAGUGGCGAAGGCGACACACUGGGCCAUUACUGACGCUGAGGCGCGAAAGCGUGGGGAGCAAACAGGAUUAGAUACCCUAGUAGUCC